rnacentral:lncRNA from 1 species
GAAGACUCAAGGCUAUAAUCGCUGUCAAAGGUGCUUCAACAAAGUACUGAGUAAAGGGUCUGAAUACUUAAUUGUAUUGUCUUUGAUUUACAUUGUUAUUUUGUUGUUUUCCUUUGUUCGGGUAUCUUUGUUCUGGUCACUUUGUCCUGGUCUAUUUUUCAGUUUUUUCUCUUCAUUGGUAGUUGGCACAUCAGGUGUGUAGUUUAUUGGUUGGGUGGGGAUGGUGGUUUGGACAGGUGAGUGGCUUCACUGCAGGUGGAUCGUGUGUUUAAAAAAUCAAUUAUGAUAAAGAAUACAAGUACAAAAAAAUACUCUGAACAGGUGAGUGAUCGGAUCACCAUUCUGGAUUAUGGGGCUCUGAAAAUCCAUAAGAACAGCAAGGAAGACGCGUGACAGUACCGCUCUGUGGCCAAGAACAGCUUCGGGAUCGCCAGUCCAAACGAGUCUCCAUAGAAGUACAGGGAAAGCCUUCUCCAAACCAAGUCUCCACAGAAGUACAGGUAAGUCCUUCUCCAAACAAGUCACCAUAGAAGUACAGGGUAAGUCCUUCUCCAAACCAGUCCCCAUAGAAAUACAGGGAUCACCUUCUCAAAACCAGCCUCCAUAGAAGUACAGGGCAAGUCUUAUUCAAUGACCUUAAUACAGCCUGGUUUGCAUGACAGACCACUAGGUGGUGCCAGACAACACUACUACUGAACCUAGGUGGUGCCAGACAACACCACUCCUGAACCUAGGUGGUGCCAGACAACACUAGUCCUGAACCUAGGUGGUGCCAGACAACACUAGUCCUGAACCUAGGUGGUGCCAGACAACACUAGUCCUGAACCUAGUUGGUGCCAGACAACACUACUACUGAACCUAGGUGGUGCUAGACAACACUUCUACUGAACCUAGGUGGUGCCAGACAACACUACUACUGAACCUAGUUGGUGCCAGACAACACUACUACUGAACCUAGGUAGUGCCAGACAACACUAGUCCUGAACCUAGGUGGUGCCAGACAACACUAGUCCUGAACCUAGGUGGUGCCAGACAACACUACUACUGAACCUAGGUGGUGCCAGACAACACUAGUCCUGAACCUAGGUGGUGCCAGACAACACUAGUCCUGAACCUAGGUGGUGCCAGACAGUACUUCUCCUGAGGAUUAAAUGUCAGGAAUUGUGAAAAACUGAGUUUAAAUGUAUUUGGCUAAGGUGUAUGUAAACUUCCGACUUCAACUGUAGCUAAAGUUGAAGUCGGAAGUUUACAUACACCUAGUUUGGAAUCAUUAAAACUAGUUUUUCAACCACUCCACCAAUUUCUUGUUAAAAAACUAUAGUUUUGGCAAGUCGCUUAGGACAUCUACUUUGAGCAUGAUACAGGUAAUUAAUCCAACAAUUGUUUACAGACAGAUUAUUUCAUUUAUAAUUCACUGUAUCACAAUUCCAGUGGGUCAGAAGUUUACGUACACUAAAUUGACUGUGCCUUUAAACAGCUUGGAAAAUUCCAGAAAAUUAUGUCAUGGCUUUAGAAGCUUCUGAUAGGCUAAUUGACAUAAUUUCAGUCAAUUGGAGGUGUACCUGUGGAUGUAUUUCAAGGCCUACCUUCAAACUCAGUGCCUCUUUGCUUGACAUCAUGGGAAAAUCCAAAUAAAUCAGCCAAGACCUCAGAAAAACAAUUGUAGAGCUCCACAAGUCUGGUUCAUCCUUGACAGCAAUUUCCAAACCCCUUUAAGGUACCACGUUCAUCUGUACAAACAAUUGUACGCAAGUAUAAACACCAUGGGACCACGCAGCCGUCA